UGGAGGAUUUUUAGUCGCUUGCCUAGCUGCCUUUCCGCCGGAUCAACUCCUCCCCUCGCCGGCCCUCCCUGAAGAAAACUCCAAUGGCCUCUCUCGCCCCAAGGACUGGCGAUGCGGUCUUCGCCAACGUCGAACGCGUCAAUGCAGAGCUCUUCACCCUCACGUAUGGCGCCAUCGUGCGGCAGCUCCUCACGGAUCUGGAGGAGGUAGAGGAGGUCAACAAGCAGCUCGACCAGAUGUAAUUUUUCCUCCAUUAUCCCUCUUGCUUCGCUUCAGCUUAUGUGUUUGCAGACCCAAAGAUUGUGUCCUUUUGGAAGUGAUUUCUUGAUUUGAAGUUGGUAUAUCGAUCAGCUUUUAAUUUUGAAUGUUAUUGUACAUGCUGUGAAGAAAAAGGAAACUGGUUUUGUUACUUUAGGGACUCGAUUCAGAAAAGGAUGCGUGUUUUGUGCUAAUUUCAGUUGGAAGGAGGAAUUGGUAAGGGUUACUUGGUUUUGAUUUGGGGAUUUCGGUCUUUUCUAGGUUU